UACGGGGGGGGCAAGCGUUGUCCGGAAUUACUGGGCGUAAAGGGCUCGUAGGCGGCCAACUAAGUCAGACGUGAAAUCCCUCGGCUUAACCGGGGAACUGCGUCUGAUACUGGAUGGCUUGAAUCCGGGAGAGGGAUGCGGAAUUCCAGGUGUAGCGGUGAAAUGCGUAGAUAUCUGGAGGAACACCGGUGGCGAAGGCGGCAUCCUGGACCGGCAUUGACGCUGAGGAGCGAAAGCGUGGGGAGCGAACAGG
rnacentral:rRNA from 1 species